CGGCACUCCAGAUGUUUUGGACUACACCUCCCAUGAUGCUUUUCCAGCAUUAUGGGGAAUGUAGUCUACAACAUCUGGAGUGCCG
rnacentral:miRNA from 1 species